rnacentral:rRNA from 1 species
AUUGAACGCUGGCGGCAGGCUUAACACAUGCAAGUCGAGCGAGCGGCGGACGGGUGAGUAAUGUCUGGGAAACUGCCUGAUGGAGGGGGAUAACUACUGGAAACGGUAGCUAAUACCGCAUACCAUCAGAUGUGCCCAGAUGGGAUUAGCUAGUAGGUGGGGUAAUGGCUCACCUAGGCGACGAUCCCUAGCUGGUCUGAGAGGAUGACCGGCCACACGGGAACGGAGACAGGGUCCAGACUCCUAGGGGAGGCAGCAGUGGGGAAUUUUGCACAAUGGGCGCAAGCCUGAUGCAGCAAUGCCGGGUGUGUGAAGAGGGCCUUCGGGUGGUAAAGCACUUUCGGCGAGGAGGCGUUACUCGCAGAAGAAGCACCGCCUAACACCGGGCCAGCAGCCGCGUAAUAC